AUUGAACGCUGGCGGCAGGCCUAACACAUGCAAGUCGAACGAGUGGCGGACGGGUGAGUAAUGUCUGGGAAACUGCCCGAUGGAGGGGGAUAACUACUGGAAACGGUAGCUAAUCCCGCAUACCAUCGGAUGUGCCCAGAUGGGAUUAGCUAGUAGGGGGGGUAACGGCUCACCUAGGCGACGAUCCCUAGCUGGUCCGGGAGGAUGACCAGCCACACGGGAACGGAGACACGUUCCAGACUCCUACGGGAGGCAGCAGUGGGGAAUAUUGCACAUGGGGCGCAAUCCGGAUGCAGCCAUGCCGCGUGGAUGAGGAAGGCCUUCGGGUUGUAAAGUACUUUCAGCGAGGAGGCGGUACUCGCAGAAGAAGCACCGGCUAACUCCGUGCCAGCAGCCGCGGUAAUAC
rnacentral:rRNA from 1 species